rnacentral:rRNA from 1 species
UGCUUAACACAUGCAAGUCGAACGAUGAAGGGGAGCUUGCUUCCUGGAUUAGUGGCGAACGGGUGAGUAACACGUGAGCAACCUGCCCCUGACUCUGGGAUAAGCGCUGGAAACGGCGUCUAAUACUGGAUAUGUGACGUGACCGCAUGGUCUGCGUUUGGAAAGAUUUUUCGGUUGGGGAUGGGCUCGCGGCCUAUCAGCUUGUUGGUGAGGUAAUGGCUCACCAAGGCGUCGACGGGUAGCCGGCCUGAGAGGGUGACCGGCCACACUGGGACUGAGACACGGCCCAGACUCCUACGGGAGGCAGCAGUGGGGAAUAUUGCACAAUGGGCGGAAGCCUGAUGCAGCAACGCCGCGUGAGGGAUGACGGCCUUCGGGUUGUAAACCUCUUUUAGCAGGGAAGAAGCGUGAGUGACGGUACCUGCAGAAAAAGCACCGGCUAACUACGUGCCAGCAGCCGCGGUAAUACGUAGGGUGCAAGCGUUAUCCGGAAUUAUUGGGCGUAAAGAGCUCGUAGGCGGUUUGUCGCGUCUGCUGUGAAAUCUGGGGGC